rnacentral:rRNA from 1 species
AGAGUUUGAUCCUGGCUCAGGAUGAACGCUGGCGGCGUGCCUAACACAUGCAAGUCGAGCGAUUCACUUCGGUGAAGAGCGGCGGACGGGUGAGUAACGCGUGGGUAACCUGCCUCAUACACAUGGAUAACAUACCGAAAGGUAUGCUAAUACAAGAUGGUAUAAGAGAUUCGCAUGGAUUUCUUAUCAAAGCUCCGGCGGUAUGAGAUGGACCCGCGUCUGAUUAGCUAGUUGGUAAGGUAACGGCUUACCAAGGCGACGAUCAGUAGCCGACCUGAGAGGGUGAUCGGCCACAUUGGAACUGAGACACGGUCCAAACUCCUACGGGAGGCAGCAGUGGGGAAUAUUGCACAAUGGGCGAAAGCCUGAUGCAGCAACGCCGCGUGAACGAUGAAGGCCUUCGGGUCGUAAAGUUCUGUCCUCAAGGAAGAUAAUGACGGUACUUGAGGAGGAAGCCCCGGCUAACUACGUGCCAGCAGCCGCGGUAAUACGUAGGGGGCUAGCGUUAUCCGGAUUUACUGGGCGUAAAGGGUGCGUAGGUGGUUUCUUAAGUCAGGAGUGAAAGGCUACGGCUCAACCGUAGUAAGCUCUUGAAACUGGGAAACUUGAGUGCAGGAGAGGAAAGUGGAAUUCCUAGUGUAGCGGUGAAAUGCGUAGAUAUUAGGAGGAACACCAGUAGCGAAGGCGGCUUUCUGGACUGUAACUGACACUGAGGCACGAAAGCGUGGGGAGCAAACAGGAUUAGAUACCCUGGUAGUCCACGCCGUAAACGAUGAGUACUAGGUGUCGGGGGUUACCCCCCUCGGUGCCGCAGCUAACGCAUUAAGUACUCCGCCUGGGGAGUACGCUCGCAAGAGUGAAACUCAAAGGAAUUGACGG